rnacentral:rRNA from 1 species
GACAGAGGGUGCAAACGUUUGUUCGGAAUUACUGGGCGUAAAGCGCGUGUAGGCGGUUGGGUAAGUCGGAUGUGAAAGCCCCGGGCUCAACCCGGGAAGUGCAUUCGAUACUACUUGGCUAGAGUACUGGAGAGGAUGGUGGAACUCUCGGUGUAGAGGUGAAAUUCGUAGAUAUCGAGAAGAACACCGGCGGCGAAGGCGGCCAUCUGGACAGAUACUGACGCUGAGACGCGAAAGCGUGGGGAGCAAACGGG